rnacentral:lncRNA from 13 species
GACUUCCUUGUUUAAAACAGUAGUUUCCACUGCUUAAUUAACAUUGCCUUAGAAAUGUCCCUAUUUGCUAUGUGGUCUCCUCUUGGUUGUUGGGAUUAGAUUGAUAUUUCACCCUGGGCUGUAAAGUUCAUUAUGUUCACAGGCUUUAAGCUAUUAUUAAUUAUUAAACCUAGUGACAGGCUCCAUUAAUCAAAACCUUGGCCUUGAUUUAAACGGCUCCUUCAUGUUAGUUUGAAAGAAGACACUACAGUAUCACUUAAUUUUCUAGCUAUUUAGGGAUGUCUCUUUUCUCAUUGUUUUUGUCUUUUCACAGAGAUGACAUCACUCGCCUGAUCUAGUCAGCUUUGUUUCGGAGCUGAAGACUGUCCUGGAAGUGGCCCUGAAGAGCAGGCUGGAGUGUCGCUCCAUACCCCCUCCACAGUACUACUCUCAGCUCAUCACUGAGAUGGAGAACCUACGGUUGGGAAAGACUACCGAGGUUUUAUUUCCUCACGUGUUUCGUGCUCUGGUUGCCAGUGGUAACACCUUUGA